AGAGUAAGUCAGCCUAAUCCAAGUUUCUAUGCUAGAUAUUAGCUAGACAAAUUCGGAGCGGAGGAACCACAUUUGGGGGCGUAUUUCUAGAUUUUGUAGCCUAGAAAAGGAUAUCUCUCUAUCCUAGCCCGUCAGCUAACUUCGUCGGCGUGGGGGGAAGACUGA
rnacentral:sRNA from 2 species